GGGGUUGUGGCUCAGUGGCUGAGUGCUCACCUAGCACAUGAGAGGCACUGGGUUUGAUCCUCAGCAACACAU
rnacentral:tRNA from 1 species